UUGAUCCUGGCUCAGGACGAACGCUGGCGGCGUGCUUAACACAUGCAAGUCGAACGCUGAAGCCUAGCUUUUGUUGGGUGGAUGAGUGGCGAACGGGUGAGUAACACGUGAGUAACCUGCCCCCUUCUUUGGGAUAACGCCCGGAAACGGGUGCUAAUACUGGAUAUUCACUGAUCUUCGCAUGGGGGUUGGUGGAAAGGUUUUUUCUGGUGGGGGAUGGGCUCGCGGCCUAUCAGCUUGUUGGUGGGGUGAUGGCCUACCAAGGCUUUGACGGGUAGCCGGCCUGAGAGGGUGACCGGUCACAUUGGGACUGAGAUACGGCCCAGACUCCUACGGGAGGCAGCAGUGGGGAAUAUUGCACAAUGGGCGAAAGCCUGAUGCAGCGACGCCGCGUGAGGGAUGGAGGCCUUCGGGUUGUAAACCUCUUUCGCUCAUGGUCAAGCCGCAACAUUGGUUGUGGUGAGGGUAGUGGGUAAAGAAGCGCCGGCUAACUACGUGCCAGCAGCCGC
rnacentral:rRNA from 1 species